rnacentral:rRNA from 1 species
UGGGGAAUAUUGCACAAUGGGCGCAAGCCUGAUGCAGCCAUGCCGCGUGUAUGAAGCAGGCCUUCGGGUUGUAAAGUACUUUCAGUCGGGAGGAAGGUGGUAAGGUUAAUAACCUUAUCAAUUGACGUUACCGACAGAAGAAGCACCGGCUAACUCCGUGCCAGCAGCCGCGGUAAUACGGAGGGUGCAAGCGUUAAUCGGAAUUACUGGGCGUAAAGCGCACGCAGGCGGUUGAUUGAGUCAGAUGUGAAAUCCCCGGGCUUAACCCGGGAAUUGCAUCUGAUACUGGGCAGCUAGAGUCUUGUAGAGGGGGGUAGGAUUCCAUGUGUAGCGGUGAAAUGCGUAGAUAUAUGGAGGAACACCAGUGGCGAAGGCGGCCCCCUGGACGAAGACUGACGCUCAGGUGCGAAAGCGUGGGGAGCAAACAGG